GAAAUGCGAUACGUAGUGUGAAUUGCAGAAAUACGUGAACCAUCGAAUCUUUGAACGCAUAUUGCGCUCGAGGCUUCGGCCAAGAGCAUGUCUGCCUCAGCGUCGGGUUAAUACUCGCAUGCCACGCACCUUCGGGAUGUGUGUGUAAGCGGAUCUGGCUUUCCCGGGAUUUAUUUAAUUAAAUUCCGGGUCAGCUGAAGCGCAGAGGUUAAUGCAUGGACCCGCUCAUGGGCCUCUACUGGGUAGGCAAUUCAUUGCUAAUGCUUUAGUAGGUGGCUUGGGUACUGCGUUGGCCCAAACCAGGAACUCUCUACCUGUUAGAGAGAACCCUCUUUUAUUUUCUCGACCUGAGCUCAGGCAAGAUUACCCGCUGAACUUAAGC
rnacentral:misc_RNA from 1 species